rnacentral:rRNA from 1 species
GACGAACCGAGCGAACGUUGUUCGGAAUCACUGGGCUUAAAGGGCGCGUAGGCGGGCAUCCAAGUCCGUGGUGAAAUCCGGCAGCUCAACUGUCGAACUGCCGCGGAUACUGGGUGUCUCGAGGGAGGUAGGGGCGUGCGGAACUAUUGGUGGAGCGGUGAAAUGCGUUGAUAUCAAUAGGAACUCCGGUGGCGAAGGCGGCACGCUGGACCUUUUCUGACGCUGAGGCGCGAAAGCCAGGGGAAGCAAAGCGGGG